rnacentral:rRNA from 1 species
AGGACGAACGCUGGCGGCGUGCUUAACACAUGCAAGUGGAGCGACGAACCAGGGCUUGCCCUGGGGCAGAGCCGCGAACGGGUGAGUAACACGUGGGUUACCUGCCUUGAUGACCGGGACAACCCGAGGAAACUCGGGCUAAUACCGGAUGUGCCCGCAAGGGGAAAGGAAGCUUCGGCCUCCGCAUCAAGAUGGGCCCGCGGCCCAUUAGCUUGUUGGUGAGGUAACGGCUCACCAAGGCUUCGAUGGGUAGCUGGUCUGAGAGGACGAUCAGCCACACUGGGACUGAGACACGGCCCAGACUCCUACGGGAGGCAGCAGUGGGGAAUCUUGCGCAAUGCGCGAAAGCGUGACGCAGCAACGCCGCGUGGGGGAAGAAGGCUUUCGGGUUGUAAACCCCUUUCAGUUGGGACGAAGCUUCUCCGGUUAAUAGCCGGAUGGAGUGACGGUACCUUCACAAGAAGCACCGGCUAACUACGUGCCAGCAGCCGCGGU